rnacentral:sRNA from 1 species
UCGUUUAUUAGGACUAGCUAAAUAUGAAGA